rnacentral:rRNA from 1 species
AAGACCUCGCGCUAUUGGAGCGGCCGAUGUCCGAUUAGCUAGUUGGUGGGGUAAUGGCCCACCAAGGCGACGAUCGGUAGCUGGUCUGAGAGGAUGAUCAGCCACACUGGGACUGAGACACGGCCCAGACUCCUACGGGAGGCAGCAGUGGGGAAUUUUGGACAAUGGGCGAAAGCCUGAUCCAGCCAUGCCGCGUGAGUGAAGAAGGCCUUCGGGUUGUAAAGCUCUUUCGGCCGGAACGAAAUCGCGCGAGCUAACACCUCGCGUGGAUGACGGUACUGGAAGAAGAAGCACCGGCUAACUACGUGCCAGCAGCCGCGGUAAUACGUAGGGUGCAGGCGUUAAUCGGAAUUACUGGGCGUAAAGCGUGCGCAGGCGGCUUCCUAAGUCAGAUGUGAAAUCCCCGGGCUCAACCUGGGAACU